rnacentral:rRNA from 1 species
GACGAACCGUGCGAACGUUGUUCGGAAUCACUGGGCUUAAAGGGCGCGUAGGCGGGCUGUCCAGUCUGGGGUGAAAUCCCGCGGCUCAACCGUGGAACUGCCUUAGAUACUGACGGCCUCGAGGGAGAUAGGGGCAUGCGGAACUGUAGGUGGAGCGGUGAAAUGCGUUGAUAUCUACAGGAACUCCGGUGGCGAAGGCGGCGUGCUGGAUCUCUUCUGACGCUGAGGAGCGAAAGCCAGGGGAGCAAACGGG